UACGUAGGGUGCGAGCGUUGUCCGGAAUUACUGGGCGUAAAGAGCUCGUAGGUGGUUUGUCACGUCGUCUGUGAAAUCCCGGGGCUUAACUUCGGGCGUGCAGGCGAUACGGGCAUAACUUGAGUGCUGUAGGGGAGACUGGAAUUCCUGGUGUAGCGGUGAAAUGCACAGAUAUCAGGAGGAACACCGAUGGCGAAGGCAGGUCUCUGGGCCACUACUGACGCUGAGAAGCGAAAGCAUGGGGAGCGAACAGGAUUAGA
rnacentral:rRNA from 1 species